GUUGUAUAGUUAAGUGACUAAGCGUACAAGGUGGAUGCCUUGGCAAUCAGAGGCGAAGAAGGACGUGCUAAUCUGCGAAAAGCUUGGAUGAGUCGAUAAGAGGCGUUUAAUCCAAGAUAUCCGAAUGGGGAAACCCAGUAGAUGAAGAAUCUACUAUCACUUACUGAAUUCAUAGGUAAGUGAGGCAAACCGGGAGAACUGAAACAUCUAAGUACCCCGAGGAAAAGAAAUCAACCGAGAUUUCGUCAGUAGCGGCGAGCGAAAGCGAAAGAGCCUGUUAAUGAUAGCAGCAGAGAUAGAGGAAUAAGCUGGGAAGCUUAGCGACACAGGGUGAUAGCCCCGUACUCAAAAUCCAGGCUGUGGUACUAAG
rnacentral:rRNA from 1 species